CCACGAGAUGCAGCUGGGUAUAUAAGCAUUAGCUUUCUCCUUCUCUUUCUUCUUGACCAUCCUGCGUUAAUUAAACACAUUGAUAACAUUUUAUUUACAGUGUGUAGGAGUGACGGGCAAUCAGUGACAGUCAUUACAGAUCAUUGUUCUCGGAGUGAAUUUAAACAAAAUGGAAUACAAUACUCUCUUGGUCCUAUUGUUUGCCGCUUCUCUGGGUUCGAGUUCAGCUCAGACUAAGUACUGCUGUGCCCCUGCGCAGUGGGAGGGACUAAUGGCCACCACUUCCAACCGUGGAGGCCAGACCGGGCAAAUCAGGACGACCUCGUAUGUGUUUAAGUGACUACACAAACCAGCGCACUGUUGUUUUCUUUAAUUCCACCGAGUCAUCAGGGAAACAAUAUUUUUAUGAAGUUCUGACGAUCUUCAACGUGUCGUCUAGUACUGGAAAGCUGUACAUUUUAAAUUUGAUAACGAAAGGCUGCAGCGUUAUAAAUACAGACGUGCCAAUAUCUAAAUACUGUGUGCCCGACACAGCUCAGAAGUUGGGUGAUGUCACCCUGGGAGCUAACAGCGAGUCUCUGCCGGCGUCCGUCUUCGCCAACAUCUUCGACGAUCUGCUAGUGCAGUUUACUUUCACUCAGAAACUAUGCAUCCCCGUCUCUCAGCUGACGAUUGCAAACGAGGGACCAGCGACUUUGGUGAAUGUAGCGGCAUUUGCAAACAUAAAGACUUCAUCUCCCAACCCUCAGUCUUCACUGUACCUCCUGAGUGCAAAAGGCUAAUCUGAUGUUUGCACCUGAAGCGAGCUUCAUGCCGCAGUUUGCAUCGAUGCCGCCAAACAUGUUUUCCAUCAUAAGGCCUUUUCUCUAGUUUCCACCUGAUAACAAGGCACUUGCCAGAUUCAAUCUGGAACCUGCCAGAAUACCUUGGAUGAAAGCAGUAUUUUAAGGAUACAAACGUUAUUAAGCUCGAGUUUAUAAUUUGCUUUGUAUUUUUCUUUUUACUUCUUCAAUUUAGUCAUACUUCAUUUUGUUUUAUUUAUUAUCUUCUAUACAACAUAAUAUUUAUGUAAGGUAUGAAACACUUAUAUACAUUUUCAGUUAAUGUCUGAGAUGCUAAUGUAGGGGAGGGGUGUUUUACUCCGAGUCAGCAGCUAUGUUAUAUCACUACAUCAUGGCAAAGCGACUGACUCUGUACACAGGUAUGUGCAUGCAAAGGGAUGCUAACAAAAGUCUACUCUGUUGUAUGCUUCAAUAUAUAACAUUGUUGACAAUUAUUAUGAAGUUGCUCAACCCGUGUUUUAAAAAACCGUAAAUCGAUAAAGUAUGGGAAUUCUUUAAACCCUGCUCAUCUAUUAGUUUCUAAUUUCCAUUUUGUUAAAAGAACAAACUGGCUUGAGAUAAAAAUGCUUUCUCAUGCUUCAGAGCUGAAGAAAAUUGAUGAAUUAAUACAAGUUUGGAUGUGCUUUCAUUAUACCGUCUGUUUGGGGGGAUUCCUUCGACAGAAAGAAACAUUUGAUCAGAUGGCUUCAGAAAAUAUCCGCUUUAAGAACCAUUACCACCUUCCUCCAUCAUUAUCUCUACCGAGAGUUGUAUAUAUCUGUCCUUACAGACGUAAGUUCACGAUAUACCAAAUAUCAUUAUAAUAAAUUAUAAACAUUUGCAUACGCAUAAUGUAUGUGGUUUCAACUGAAUGAGUCCUUGCUGCUUUCUUAA
rnacentral:lncRNA from 1 species